rnacentral:rRNA from 1 species
UACAGAGGGGGCAAGCGUUAUUCGGAAUUAUUGGGCGUAAAGGGCGCGUAGGCGGCCUAGCAAGUGGCGGGUGAAAUCCCUCGGCUUAACCGAGGAACUGCCUGCCAGACUGCAUGGCUUGAGACCGGGAGAGGUGAGUGGAAUUCCCAGUGUAGCGGUGAAAUGCGUAGAUAUUGGGAGGAACACCAGUGGCGAAGGCGGCUCACUGGACCGGAACUGACGCUGAGGCGCGAAAGCGUGGGGAGCAAACAGGAUUAGAUACCCCCGUAGUCC